UACGAAGGGGGCGAGCGUUGUUCGGAUUUACUGGGCGUAAAGGGCGCGCAGGCGGCGCAUUUUGUCAGGCGUGAAAGCCCCCGGGCUUAACCUGGGAACUGCGUUUGAUACGGAUGGGCUAGAGUUCGGGAGAGGAGAGUGGAAUUCCCAGUGUAGAGGUGAAAUUCGUAGAUAUUGGGAAGAACACCGGUGGCGAAGGCGGCUCUCUGGACCGAGACUGACGCUGAGGCGCGAAAGCUAGGGGAGCAAACGGG
rnacentral:rRNA from 1 species